AGCAGCGGGAAAUUUCGCCUUUGAAAAUGAGCAAAACAAAACUGCAAUGCCAAUGGCUUCUCGCUUUGGAGUUGCCGAUAGUGACGUUAUUCAAAAUUUAAAAGCAUCUAGUGAAAACUGAAAUAUGAGAAAAAGCACCAAUUUAUGGGCUUGGGUGUUUAAAAAGUGGGUGCCGUUCAGGAACAUGGCCAUGGGCGAAAACCUUAAGACGUGCAAAGUUGAAGAACUUGAUGAGGUGUUGUCGAGAUUUUUAUACGCUGAAGUACGAAAAACAAAUGGAGAAGAAUAUGAGCCUGACUGCCUUACGGUUAUGCAAGCAUCUUUGGACCGUGUUUUCCGAGAGGAAGAUAUUCCUAGUCAAUAUUAAGGGAUAAUGAAUUUCAAAAGGUUUGGCAAUGCUUUAGUUAAGG